rnacentral:sRNA from 1 species
CACUGCCCCCGAUCGAAACGAAAAGCAUUUUGCAGGCUGGUUGGACAUUUUUUUUGCCAAAAAAUAGCGACCUUGGGAGCUCAUGUUUUGGCUUAUAAAAUGCCAAGCAGACAAAAAAUCUUGGAGUGGAAAGCGGGAUAAAGG